rnacentral:rRNA from 2 species
GAGGAAUCUUGGGCAAUGGGCGAAAGCCUGACCCAGCGACGCCGCGUGGAGGAAGAAGGCCUUCGGGUCGUAAACUCCUGUUUGGGGAGAAGAACAAGAGAGAAGUUAAUAGCUUCUCUCUCUGACGGUAUCCCCGGAGAAAGCUCCGGCUAAUUACGUGCCAGCAGCCGCGGUAAUACGUAAGGAGCGAGCGUUGUCCGGAUUUACUGGGCGUAAAGGGCUCGUAGGUGGUUUCUUAGGUCUCACGUGAAAUUCCCUGGCUCAACCAGGGAGGGUCGUGGGAAACCGAGAGGCUAGAGGGCAGGAGAGGAGAGUGGAAUUCCCGGUGUAGCGGUGAAAUGCGUAGAGAUCGGGAGGAACACCAGUGGUGAAGACGGCUCUCUGGACUGUCCCUGACACUGAGGAGCGAAAGCCAGGGGAGCAAACC